CCCAAUGUGAACGUUACCAAACUGUUGCCUCGGCGGGAUCUCUGCCCCGGGUGCGUCGCAGCCCCGGACCAAGGCGCCCGCCGGAGGACCAACCAAAACUCUUAUUGUAUACCCCCUCGCGGGUUUUUUUUAUAAUCUGAGCCUUCUCGGCGCCUCUCGUAGGCGUUUCGAAAAUGAAUCAAAACUUUCAACAACGGAUCUCUUGGUUCUGGCAUCGAUGAAGAACGCAGCGAAAUGCGAUAAGUAAUGUGAAUUGCAGAAUUCAGUGAAUCAUCGAAUCUUUGAACGCACAUUGCGCCCGCCAGUAUUCUGGCGGGCAUGCCUGUCCGAGCGUCAUUUCAACCCUCGAACCCCUCCGGGGGGUCGGCGUUGGGGAUCGGCCCUGCCUUGGCGGUGGCCGUCUCCGAAAUACAGUGGCGGUCUCGCCGCAGCCUCUCCUGCGCAGUAGUUUGCACACUCGCAUCGGGAGCGCGGCGCGUCCACAGCCGUUAAACACCCAACUUCUGAAAUGUUGACCUCGGAUCAGGUAGGAAUACCCGCUGAACUUAAGCAUAUCA
rnacentral:rRNA from 1 species